UACAGAGGUGGCAAGCGUUGUUCGGAAUUACUGGGCGUAAAGGGCGCGUAGGCGGCCUACUAAGUCGGACGUGAAAUCCCCCGGCUUAACCUGGGAACUGCGUCUGAUACUGGAAGGCUUGAGUAUGGGAGAGGGAUGUAGAAUUCCAGGUGUAGCGGUGAAAUGCGUAGAUAUCUGGAGGAAUACCGGUGGCGAAGGCGGCAUCCUGGACCAUUACUGACGCUGAGGCGCGAAAGCUAGGGGAGCAAACGGG
rnacentral:rRNA from 1 species